CUACGGGCGGCAGCAGUGAGGAAUAUUGCACAAUGGGGGGAACCCUGAUGCAGCAACGCCGCGUGGAGGAUGACGCAUUUCGGUGUGUAAACUCCUUUUAUAUGUCAAGAAAAUGACGGUAGCAUAUGAAUAAGCACCGGCUAACUCCGUGCCAGCAGCCGCGGUAAUACGGAGGGUGCAAGCGUUACUCGGAAUCACUGGGCGUAAAGGAAGCGUAGGCGGGUUGGAAAGUCAGGUGUGAAAUCCUACAGCUUAACUGUAGAACUGCACUUGAAACUUCUAAUCUAGAGUAUGGGAGGGGGAGAUGGAAUUAGUGGUGUAGGGGUAAAAUCCGUAGAUAUCACUAGGAAUACCUAAAGCGAAGGCGAUCUCCUGGAACAUUACUGACGCUAAGGCGUGAAAGCGUGGGGAGCAAACAGAAUUAGAUACCCUAGUAGUC
rnacentral:rRNA from 1 species